rnacentral:rRNA from 1 species
AGAGUUUGAUCAUGGCUCAGAGCGAACGCUGGCGGCAGGCCUAACACAUGCAAGUCGAACGAACUCUUCGGAGUUAGUGGCGGACGGGUGAGUAACACGUGGGAACGUGCCUUUAGGUUCGGAAUAGCUCCUGGAAACGGGUGGUAAUGCCGAAUGUGCCCUUCGGGGGAAAGAUUUAUCGCCUUUAGAGCGGCCCGCGUCUGAUUAGCUAGUUGGUGGGGUAAUGGCCCACCAAGGCUACGAUCAGUAGCUGGUCUGAGAGGAUGACCAGCCACAUUGGGACUGAGACACGGCCCAAACUCCUACGGGAGGCAGCAGUGGGGAAUCUUGCGCAAUGGGCGAAAGCCUGACGCAGCCAUGCCGCGUGUAUGAUGAAGGUCUUAGGAUUGUAAAAUACUUUCACCGGUGAAGAUAAUGACUGUAGCCGGAGAAGAAGCCCCGGCUAACUUCGUGCCAGCAGCCGCGGUAAUACGAAGGGGGCUAGCGUUGCUCGGAAUUACUGGGCGUAAAGGGAGCGUAGGCGGACAUUUAAGUCAGAGGUGAAAUCCCGGAGCUUAACUUCGGAACUGCCUUUGAUACUGGGUGUCUUGAGUGUGAGAGAGGUAUGUGGAACUCCGAGUGUAGAGGUGAAAUUCGUAGAUAUUCGGAAGAACACCAGUGGCGAAGGCGACAUACUGGCUCAUUACUGACGCUGAGGCUCGAAAGCGUGGGGAGCAAACAGGAUUAGAUACCCCGGUAGUCCAA